GGCGGGAUUACCCGCUGAGUUUAAGCAUAUCAAUAAGCGGAGG
rnacentral:rRNA from 22 species